rnacentral:rRNA from 1 species
CUUAGUGGCGGACGGGUGAGUAACGCGUGGGGAACCUGCCCUGUACAGGGGGAUAACACUUAGAAAUAGGUGCUAAUACCGCAUAAGCGCACGGUGUCGCAUGAUACAGUGUGAAAAACUCCGGUGGUACAGGAUGGACCCGCGCCUGAUUAGCUGGUUGGCGGGGUAACGGCCCACCAAGGCGACGAUCAGUAGCCGGCCUGAGAGGGUGAACGGCCACAUUGGGACUGAGACACGGCCCAAACUCCUACGGGAGGCAGCAG